CAGCCGCCGCGGGAAUACGAAGGGUGCAAGCGUUAAUCGGAAUUACUGGGCGUAAAGCGUGCGUAGGCGGUGAGUUAAGUCUGCUGUGAAAUCCCCGGGCUCAACCUGGGAAUGGCAGUGGAUACUGGCUCGCUAGAGUGUGUCAGAGGAUGGUGGAAUUCCCGGUGUAGCAGUGAAAUGCGUAGAGAUCGGAGGGAACAUCUGUGGCGAAGGCGACUAUCUGGGCCAACACUGACACUGAGGCACGAAAGCGUGGGGAGCAAACAGGAUUAGAUACCCGUGUAGUCCCUGUCUCUUAUAC
rnacentral:rRNA from 1 species